GCUGGGUGUGGUGGCGCACACCUGCAAUCCCAGCAGCUCAGGAGGCUGAGGCAGGAGGAUCGUGAGUUCAAAGCCAGCCUCAGCAACAGUGAGGCACGACCGGUGAGACCCUGUCGCUA
rnacentral:sRNA from 1 species